UAACGUUUACCAAAUUUUAGCGGGAAGCCGAAGCAACUCCUUUUUUAUUUUUUUUACUAAAUUUUCAAAUUACAGUUUUAUUAAAUUUCUUAGGUUUGUGUGCGUCAAAUUCUCAGCGACACCAGUAGUAUGAACUAAGAAAAAUAGGUAAUUCCUUUUCAGUUUUGUUUGCGAAGAAACGAACAAAAAAAUAAGCAAAAGUGGGAGCGAAAAAUGGAGAACCCUAGCAGUGGUGAAAGAUGGAGCAGAGCAGGAAUCGAUGACAACAUGCUGGCUAUGUUUGAUGCCUCCGAAACCAAGGAUGUUCAUCAAGAUGCCCUAGAUGACCGGAUUGCUUUUAUUGAUGCUGUUCGUGCUUCUUGUGAACAUGGAAAACCGCCCACUUCAAAGAUUUUUGGGGCAGUUUUCCACAUGCUGAGGACAGGGAAGUCUCUAGAGUUGAUUGUGGGAAGUUAUAAGCUUCUGGUUGAUUUAGACAAGCACUUCCCUCGUGUGUAUUUAUCUGGCAUGGAUGAUUCCCGAUCAUCAUCUAACUCUCCAUCAAAAUUGGUUGUGGUUAAAGAGGCAUGGGCUCCCAUUAUUGGUUUCGUGGAUAAGGCCACUGCUGUUAGUGAAGCCGGUGACAAACAGUCUGGUGGAUCUCUUGACCACUCUAGCUUUCAAGCUCUGAUUGAAGAGCUGGCUGAAAUUUUAUCUGAGACCAAAUUUGAAGCAGCAAGCAUGGAGCCCUUGAGGAACAUGUUAAUCUUUCAGUACCUUGUCGUUGUUUUUGAGGAUGAUUUUCUACCUCGCAACGCAACCUUGAACUGGAGCAUGCAGAGGGAGUCUUUGCUCAGCCUGCUACUGUUUUUGCAGGGAUCUAGGAAAAUAAAUUACAAAAGCUUGAUGAAGUAUUUCAUGGCAAUUCUGUGUCAACUAUCUCAACUUCAAAGUGAACUCAGUAAACAUCCAGUGCUUCAAGAAAGUUCUGAAUCUAAGUUAUCCAAAAAUUGUCAUACUGCACUAUCUCUUGCUUUACAUGGAGUAUUAAAGGACACAUGUGUCUCAAUGGAGAAACUUCUAGUGAUGAUUAUGGACCUUGAUAUGGCAAGGAAGAUAGCAGAUAUUGAAGGUCACACUACAAGAGGAGACAGUCCAAGAACACCUUUGAUGGACAUAAUUCUGGAUGAACUCUCUUACAACAAAGAUAGUGUCCCUGUUUUUCUUAAGAUCUUCAGUGAAUCUAAAUGGAAGCUAGAAAUAGUUGUGCAGUAUCUGUGGAAAUACAUAACCAAGCCUUCUGUUCGUACCCGCAAGUCAAAUGGUCAUACUGAGGAUGCAACAUUUGAUGGGGCUUUGAAGUGCUUUUCAAAUAAAACUGGCACUAAGAGCUUAAUAAAAAAAAUUGGUGUAGAUGUAGUUCAAUUCCUUCUGGCUCAUGGUUUUCAGGCUCACUUGUCAAUAUUGUCAAAAGGAAAUGCUGGUGAUAAACAAGGGGGAGACAGUGCUAUUGUGGAUUCGUGUCAGACUUUUAUCUCUGCUUUUGAUAGUUUGAGAAGCACAGAUGCGCAUAUGGAGAUAUUGUCUAUAGGAAAAGAGGCACUAUUUACUGCGGCAACUAUUAUCUUCAUGAAAUCAUAGGAAUAAUCUAAGGCUUUAAUGCAUGAGAUAUACUUUGCCAUGUGGGAAAUUUUACCUCCUUGUCUGACUGAAUGAUAAUAUCCCAAACUAUUAUAGUAAUUUUAUUUUGAGGCUAUGCCACAACAUUGUAUAGAAAAGUACAGCCUCCUUGCAGCUUUAUAGUCGUAGCUUAGGUGCUAUGCUGGGUUUAUUUUGCUCCAACUCCAAGUGAUGCAUAGGAGGUUUAAUUUUGGCAAUUGUUACAGAUCUGACAAAACAAUGCAGAUGCAAUUAGAUUUGAUACCAUCUUGGAAUUGUUUUUCUUCUUUUUCAUAAUGUAGCAUUGCUGAACUCUAGAAUUACACUGAUGAAUGAAAUUCUUACUCAGAAUGUGCAGUAAACUUA